AACAAACGCUGGCGGCGUGCCUAACACAUGCAAGUCGCGCGAGAAAGUUCCCUUCGGGGAGCGAGUAAAGCGGCGAAAGGGUGAGUAACACGUGGGUAAUCUGCCCUUGGAACCGGGAUAACUUGCCGAAAGGCGGGCUAAUACCGGAUAAGACCACGCGGACUAAUGUCCGUGCGGUAAAAGGUGGCCUCUCGACGAAGCUAUCAUCCAGGGAUGAGCCCGCGGCCUAUUAGCUAGUUGGUAGGGUAAUGGCCUACCAAGGCUUUGAUGGGUAGCCGGCCUGAGAGGGUGUACGGCCACACUGGAACUGAGACACGGUCCAGACUCCUACGGGAGGCAG
rnacentral:rRNA from 1 species